rnacentral:rRNA from 1 species
UACAGAGGUCUCAAGCGUUGUUCGGAUUCAUUGGGCGUAAAGAGCGUGUAGGCGGCCGGGUAAGUCCGGUGUGAAAACUCGAGGCUUAACCUCGAGAUGUCAUCGGAAACUAUUCGGCUAGAGUCCGGAAGAGGAGAGUGGAAUUCCUGGUGUAGCGGUGAAAUGCGCAGAUAUCAGGAAGAACACCUAUGGCGAAAGCAGCUCUCUGGGACGGUACUGACGCUGAGACGCGAAAGCGUGGGGAGCGAACAGG